CCCUACGGGGCGCAGCAGUAGGGAAUCUUCCACAAUGGGCGAAAGCCUGAUGGAGCAACGCCGCGUGGGUGAAGAAGGUCUUCGGAUCGUAAAACCCUGUUGUUAGAGAAGAAAGUGUGUGAGAGUAACUGUUCACGUUUCGACGGUAUCUAACCAGAAAGCCACGGCUAACUACGUGCCAGCAGCCGCGGUAAUACGUAGGUGGCAAGCGUUAUCCGGAUUUAUUGGGCGUAAAGGGAACGCAGGCGGUCUUUUCAGUCUGAUGUGAAAGCCUUCGGCUUAACCGGAGUAGUGCAUUGGAAACU
rnacentral:rRNA from 1 species